UAUAUUGGUUUCGGUCUCCUUUUUGAACACUGUAUUAGAAGUCAUCAGCAAGCUUCGGUCUGUCAACCCCAAACUUACUUACGUUGGCAGAUGACCAUCGAGACAGAAGAGAUUUGUUGAUAUUACCAUAGAUCAGGAGAGAGAACGAGUGGUAGUGCUCACGAAAGCAUUCGUGCCUCACAAUCAAGACCUCAGUGCUCGGAAUUUGAUCGAGACAGCCGGUCUCGAGGGCUAUUUGGGGCUCUCGGUGGCCCUCGUGUACGAGAAGGGCUUUGGGACAACCAGUCCCCUUGGUUCGGUUUAUCUUCAGUUGUUGCCGGAGAAUGACUGUAUUCCAAUGCUUUGGAGCUUGGAGGAAGUUUGAUUCUCUGUUAUUGGGCACUGAGCUUUCACAAGAUAGUUAAGAAGACAAGGCUCUCAAUCUAUGAGGACUGGAAAUGGAACUGGGGUGUUCAUACCUCUAUAUUGUCAAAUAUAGAAGACGCAUAAGAACAGAGGGAGGAACAAUGACAAAGGAAGAAUAUUUUCUGGUAUGUGUUUUAAAAUUCUAGGGGACUACGUUGAGGUCCGGCGGGCGGCAAGGCGAGGUGCCGCCGCGGUGAAGCGGGAAAUACUAAGAUCUUAACCUUGCUCUGAUACCAUGUAAAAAUAAUAUGUAUAAAGAGAAAACUUACAGAGAAUAAAUGUAU